GGGCUUUCCUAUGUUAUAAAGUACUUAAGAAAAAUAUGAAAUCUGUUGUUUGACACUUUUGCUUGUAUAGAGUAUUUUCUAUCAUUUAUGUCUAGUAUAAUUGUGAUUUUUGUGUAGGCCAUGUUACUUGUCCAAAUGUAGUGAAAUUUUUAUGCUAGACUAUGUUGGUGAUCUCUGAGCUACUGUAAUUUUGAUAGAGUUUAUUGAAUACAAGAAGUGUAUUUUGCUGUUAUAGGCCUAGUGAUAAUUAAAUAAAUAAAAUAUUGUUUUAUGUAAACUUAGAAGUAAUCUAUGUACAUGGUGUAUCUUUGAAACAUUCCAAAGCAUGCUGG
rnacentral:lncRNA from 1 species